GACGAACGCUGGCGGCGUGCUUAACACAUGCAAGUCGAACGGAAAGGCCCUGCUUGCCGGGUACUCGAGUGGCGAACGGGUGAGUAACACGUGGGUGAUCUGCCCUGCACUUCGGGAUAAGCCUGGGAAACUGGGUCUAAUACCGGAUAGGAGCCAUUUUUAGUGUGAUGGUUGGAAAGUUUUUUCGGUGUAGGAUGAGCUCGCGGCCUAUCAGCUUGUUGGUGGGGUAAUGGCCUACCAAGGCGGCGACGGGUAGCCGGCCUGAGAGGGUGGACGGCCACAUUGGGACUGAGAUACGGCCCAGACUCCUACGGGAGGCAGCAGUGGGGAAUAUUGCACAAUGGGCGCAAGCCUGAUGCAGCGACGCCGCGUGGGGGAUGAUGGCCUUCGGGUUGGAAACUCCUUUCGCUAGGGACGAAGCUUUUUGUGACGGUACCUAGAUAAGAAGCACCGGCUAACUACGUG
rnacentral:rRNA from 1 species